UUGCAGGACUCUGACAAGCUAAAGAACUGCCAAAGUGUUAAAGCCUCUACCAAGCAAGACACCACUCAGCUCUGAUUCAGCAUAACCUGAAGUAAUACCCUAAGAAACACCUCAGUAGGGAAGAGGAAAAAAGUCCUUAAUUUGAACAAAUCUGAAAGAGAGGCCUAAAGUUUAGAAAACUAAAGAAUCACUCGUGUUUUUAUAUGAGGAUGUAAAGAUCUUGUGACAACCAAAGUUCUUGGUUUCAGGCUGAAGAGGAAGUGUAAGGAUCAGCAGCAGCAGUUUUGCAACUAGACAAUAGCAGUAGGAACAGGUAAUGCCAAGAGGUCUGCAAGGAACUGCAAGUGAGAGCCCUCACCUCUGAAAAUCACAGUGGAGAAAGGAGCAGCCCUGACUUUACAUGAUGAGAAUCUUGUAAAUGACUUUACAAGAGAGUUGCCUGUGUAAGUCUCAUGAAUUAUGUUUUCAUGGGAGCUUCUGUCAACAAACUC